GAUGAACGCUGGCGGCGUGCCUAAUACAUGCAAGUCGAGCGAACAGACGAGGAGCUUGCUCCUCUGACGUUAGCGGCGGACGGGUGAGUAACACGUGGAUAACCUACCUAUAAGACUGGGAUAACUUCGGGAAACCGGAGCUAAUACCGGAUAAUAUAUUGAACCGCAUGGUUCAAUAGUGAAAGACGGUUUUGCUGUCACUUAUAGAUGGAUCCGCGCCGCAUUAGCUAGUUGGUAAGGUAACGGCUUACCAAGGCGACGAUGCGUAGCCGACCUGAGAGGGUGAUCGGCCACACUGGAACUGAGACACGGUCCAGACUCCUACGGGAGGCAGCAGUAGGGAAUCUUCCGCAAUGGGCGAAAGCCUGACGGAGCAACGCCGCGUGAGUGAUGAAGGUCUUCGGAUCGUAAAACUCUGUUAUUAGGGAAGAACAUAUGUGUAAGUAACUAUGCACGUCUUGACGGUACCUAAUCAGAAAGCCACGGCUAACUACGUG
rnacentral:rRNA from 1 species